CCUCUGCUGCGAAGAUGCUUCAUGAUUCAAGAUGGCUUCCCUCCGGACACCAGGCUGCUCUCCAAGUUCCGGCUUUAUUGCUGAGGCCCCCUCAGCUUCAUCUUGGCCUUUCUCAUUGAGCCGCCAAAGCAGGCCUGCCAAUGGGACUCCUGUCUCUAUCUCUGCUGGAAUCUCACUGGGUGGGGAAGCUCACAACAGGAUGAUGCUGGAACACAUGACCUGUUACAAAGAAGAGUCUGACACAAAUAUUCUGUUUUGGUGGCAUACCUAAGGAAGGUGCAUGCUUGGAGAUUGCUGUGGAUCAGCUAACAUAAUACCCCAAGAACAUAACAUUUCAAACAGGAGUCAUCAUUAAAAACAAACAAACUGAAGGAGCUGAAGCAGUAACAAAAGUAGUUUUGAAAAACUGCUGUCCAAGAUGGCAGCCGCACAUGAGCAGAAAGGUUUUCAAUGGGUACCUGCAGGCAUACCAAAGCCCUGUCUUUCAUGACCACAGGCCAUACCUCAAAUGGAGGUGGAACACACAACAAGGUGUCCUCUGAAGGCCAAAAGUGCAGGCAAGUUCCUAAGGGCAGAGAUAGUCCUGCAGAUAUCUUCAUUUCAAACCGGAUUAAUUAAUUUGUAUUCCCAAACUCGUCCACGAAGAUCAACAGAGCCCUUAUCGCUCCCACACUUGCCCCAUUACCUUUGCCCGUUGCAGAUUCUCUCCAUGUCCCUGUAGCUGCAGCCAUAUCUUCCUUGCCGCCUGGGGUUCCCCACUGGGGCUCUGUGCUGACCCCAAAACCCCCAGGACAUUCAACUCGACCCCAAAAAGCUGCUCGAUUCGAGGACGGUGCUGGGUCAUCAUCUCCUGUGCCGCCUCGGGCACAGCAAAUUCGUCCAGAGUUCUCCCACUGGGCAUGUUGGGAGAUCACGACGCUGGCUUUGGUGUUGCACUCCGGUUCAGUGACAGUGUGGGACGUUGUGCAGUUAACAAGCUGUGGGAAGAAACUACUGGUUGAAAAAGGCUCUGGGUUGAAUUUUACCUUCAAUCAUAAUACAAGGAGCUCCAAUAUCUUUCUCGCCUACUUUCUGAAGGGAAGACGUCUUUUAAGAUCACUGCGUCUGCAUGUAUGUCUGUGUGUGUUCCACCCCACUGUGUGUGUUUUUCAUAACAAAUGUUAUUAAAUGUUUGUGUUUACAGUCUGAAACAAAUCAAAUUCACAGCAAGUGGAAAGCCAUCCUAGAGAAAGGCAAUGGGAGUAUUUUUUGCUGAUCUGCCAUCUUGUUUCAAGAUGGCUGCCACUCAAAAUAUAGCAAACACCCCUUUGUAGCUCUUGUGUUGAUAUCUGGAUACAAACCAAAUUCACAGCACGUGGGAGAGAGCCCUAUGGAACACAAUCGGACCUACUUUUAAAAAAAAAACUGAUUCACCACUUUGUUUCAAGAUAGUAGCCAUCCAAAAUAUAGUCAACACCCCUUUGUAACUCUUGUACUGACUACUGAAAACAAACCAAAUUCACAGCACAUGGGAGAGGGGCCUAGGGGACCCCAGUAAAGGUAUUUUUUGGCAGUCCACCAUGUUGGUUCAAGAUGGCAGCCACACAAAGUAUAGACAACACCUCCUUGUAACCCAUGGGCUGGUAGAAACCAAAUUCACAGCACAUGGGACGAUGGCCUAGGUAAAAGUAACUAAGUUAAAAGAUGUAGAAAGUAGGCUCUGUUAGUUCUCCAUAGACCAGCUUAUUUUGUCCUACAAGAAUCUGUACCAGGAGCACGACUAGAAAGUGGGAGGAUCACGGUUAUGCAUGGGAGGUGAGACGCACUGAGGAAAUACAAGCCAGAAGCAUGAAAAAGGGUCACCAGCACAGAGCCAGGCUCUGAACCCAAAAGCCAGUUCUGAGGGAGCUGAACUGAACUCAAAAGCCAGUUCUGAGGGAUAUUUUGAGUAAGCCAGAACCAAACCCAAAACAAAAAUCUCUUGUUGACUUGACCCCAGACCAAAACUGUGAAUGUAAAACAUGGUAGCUGAUUCGAAAUACAUGCUUCCUCGGUUAGGUGUGCAGCCUUUAUACAGCCAUAACUGUACAAUAAAUGUUUUAUCUUCUUGUUUCUGUA